UACGGGGGGGGCGAGCGUUGUUCGGAAUUACUGGGCGUAAAGGGCGCGUAGGCGGCUGGGGAAGUUUUGGGUGAAAGCCCUCGGCUCAACCGAGGAAGAGCCUGAAAAACCACCCAGCUGGAGUGCUGGAGAGGCAAGCGGAAUUUCUGGUGUAGCGGUGAAAUGCGUAGAUAUCAGAAGGAACACCUGAGGCGAAGGCGGCUUGCUGGACAGACACUGACGCUGAGGCGCGAAAGCGUGGGGAGCAAACAGG
rnacentral:rRNA from 1 species